rnacentral:sRNA from 1 species
AUUCUACCCAUGCGGGGAAGGAUGAGAAGCUUCGACUAAGGUUCGAUUCGAGCGCAGCGAGAAAGCGUUGCCGCAGGCAACGACCCGAAGGGCGAAGCGCGCAGCGCUGAGUAAUCCUUCCCCCCACCACCA